GAUGAACGCUGGCGGCGUGCCUAAUACAUGCAAGUCGAGCGAACGGACGAGAAGCUUGCUUCUCUGAUGUUAGCGGCGGACGGGUGAGUAACACGUGUAUAACCUACCUAUAUGACUGGGAUAACUUCGGGAAACCGGAGCUAAUACCGGAUAAUAUUUUGAUCCGCAUGGUUCAAAAGUGAAAGACGGUCUUGCUGUCACUUAUCGAUGGUUCCGCGCUGCAUUAGCUGGUUGGUAAGGUAACGGCUUACCAAGGCAACGAUGCAUAUCCGACCUGAGAGGGGGAUCGGCCGCCCUGGAAGUGAGACACGGUCCAGACUCCUACGGGAGGCAGCAGUAGGGAAUCUUCCGCAAUGGGCGAAAGCCUGACGGAGCAACGGCGCGUGAGUGAUGAAGGUCUUCGGAUCGUAAAACUCUGUUAUUAGGGAAGAACAUAUGUGUAAGUAACUGUGGACAUCUUGACGGUACCUAAUCAGAAAGCCACGGCUAACUACGUG
rnacentral:rRNA from 1 species